UCCACAGGCCGGGUCUCUGAUCCCAAACAAUAAAUCAGGAGAAGCACAGUUUUAGCGGUGAAAGCCGUGAGUUUUUGGACGAUUUUGGACCUAUGUAAAACAACUGCGCAAAGAAAGUUAUGGUAUCGCAGACCUGGAAAGCGAUGGAAUGAUGGUCACUGAUGACUUGGAAAGGCCAAUGUAUUAAAUCAACAGUUCAAGAGUGUUUUCACUAAGGAGGGGGAAGGAGAUGUUCCAUCUUUGGGCACCAGUUCUUAUAACCAGAUUGGUCAUCUGAGCAUUACAAAGGACGGGAAGCUGUUUAGGGAACUUAAUGUAAAUAAAUCACCUGGACCUGACGGCAAUCCACUGUGGUUCCUAAAUAUGGGGGCAGAAGAGUUGGCCGCCCCUCUUCAAGAUCUGUUCCAGUCUUCAAUCAACACUAGAUUCGUACCAAAGGGAUGGAAGGAGGCUAACAUAGCACCCAUCUUCAAAAAAGGAAACAGAAACUGUCCUGCUAACCGGCCUGUCUCUUUGACUUUGGUCAUAUGCAAGGUAACGGAGCACAUCAUUCACAGUCAUGUCAUGAAACACCUGGAUGAUGAGAAGAUUCUUACAGACUGCCAACAUGGUUUCCGGGCUAAAAGAUCAACGAAACUCAACUCAUCUUGACAAUCCAUGAUAUUAGUAAGGAAUUAAACAACAACAACUUUGUUGAUGUUGCAUUGCUGGAUUCACUAAUAAGGUUCCCCACUGCCGUCUAUUAGAGAAGCUGCAUUAUUAUGGUCUAGGAGAAGAAAUUACCACUUGGGUGGAAAAUUUCUUAAAGAAUCGCAUCCAACCUGUCGUUGUCAAUGGGCAUUUCUCAGCACACAUCUGGAGUGCCACAGGGGACUAUGACGGGGCCUCUUUGGUUCUUAUUGUACACCAAUGAUGAAUGCCAAACAACAUCACCUCCAAUACCAGACUAUUUGCAGACGACUGCAUCCUCUACACACCAGUGUCAGCAGACCAAGAUACAAGUGCACUUCAGCAUGAUCUACAAUCACUAGAAGGCUGGCAAGACACUUGGAUGAUGGACUUUAAUCCCAAUAAAUAUUAUAUACUGACCAUUGGGAAGAGGAACCCACCUCUACACUCCUACAACUCCAAACGCAAAAGUUCUUCUCAAAUUAUCAUGCAGUUUUCCUGCAAGCUGCACAGACUAUGCCAGCCGUGGCGAAGCAUGUACAUAUCCUGUACAUGUACAGUGUACAUGUGUAUAUCAUCAUGAUCACGUACAUUACCUUUCACGAGACAUGCUAGCCACCGGAGCUUUUAAACGUGUGAAUGCGGCUAGAAAGCGAAAGUUACACGAAGAUUCUUCCUCUGAAGCUUCAUCUUCUUCCCCUAAAGGCUAAAAAGCUCUGGGCUAGAUAAAGAUUUUUUCUGGCAGAUCUUCAAGACUAGCUCUCAUGACUCUGACUGAGUCUGGCAAUGUCUGGUGUGUUGCCUGCAGUGUAAGACUGUAUGUUAACUUGCAUGCAUCAUGGACAUGAUGGGGGACAGUAGAGUCGUUUAUCACUCGACAUGGGAAAUGUGUCAAGCAUGUCAAGGAUAAGCUGUUGCAGGCAGAAAUUUCUGAUGGAGCAGAGAGCAAAAGAGACGAGAAUGUCUUGAUACACAUUUGGGACAAAGAUUGUGUCGCUCUGGAGGUUGGAUAUCGCACCUCUUGUUACAAAUCAUACACUCAGUUCUGACAAGGAGAAGCAAGGACCCUGAAGGGUUCAAAAGGGUGUGAUGGGAAGAUCUGUUUGGAUGAAGUUACCAGUAUAAAAAGCGUAGUUUACUGUCUGAUUGUAUUGAAGGAGUGAACUUCAGAUGGAGCACCAAGAGGCCUGCGAGAUGUUCAACAGAGAUAGUGAUAGUCCAGGAAAUCGUGGGAAUUAAACCAGCUGUGAAGUAUACAUCUUUUUGACUGCCCUUUUAUUUGCUCUUUUCGACGGCGAACCCACGACAACUUGGCGGCAGCCGUGGAACGACACCGAUUUACCGAGGAUCACUGCAGUCUGGAUCUGUACUGGAUUUAGUUCGAAUUGGAUUUUACCCUGGAAUAUACUGGUGCGAUUUGAAAUAUCCUGGUGCGACUCGGACAUACGGAUGCAAGUUGGAAUAAAAAGAGUGCAAAUUGGAUUAUAUUGGUGGGAGUUGAAUUUACCGCAGGAAUAUUGUGACUGGAUUGUCACUCUUGGAUGUUUACCAUGGAUAACACCUGUGGAUUAUGUUCUGUGGAUUUUGCUGAGAGAUCGGAUACGACUCUUGGAUAUAUGCGAUGGUCCGAAGAAAUAAAUCGAAGGAUGUAAGCUGUGCAGAAUGAUUACUCCAUGAUGACGGCAUCCCUGAAGCGGCGGUUUGGGGACAGAGCACUACCGGAGACAUACAGGACUCAAUUGCACACAUUUGAGGCAAAACGCAAAGGAGUCUACGACUGAGUUUGCCACCAAAGUACGCGCCUAUGUCGUGAAAACGUACCCAGCUGCACCAGAAGAGCUACAAGAGAAACUGGCCGUUGAACAUUUCCUGAAAACAUUGCCAGAUUCGCAGAUGGGAUAUAACGUGAUGGUUAAGCAACCUCGCGAUUUAAAUGAAGCUGAGCAUAUGAUCGCGGUUCACAAAAGCUUCAAAACCAAUUUCUCAAGGAAAUUAGUGCGUGCUGUGAGUUCGGUUAGCGAGGAGCAAGAACCGACCACCGAAGUACGCCAGGUGAGCGACAAACGCCUCGUGACGGAAGAGCGCUUACAGGUGUUUGGGCGUGAACUUAACCAAACCAUUACCGCUGAAGUGAUUGACAAAGUCACUGCCUCGACAACGCCUGGGCUAAAGGAAAUAAAGUCAAUGCUGAAUUGUAAGAACAACGCUCGUCAAGCCGGUGGACUGAGCCGAUGAUACAACCAGCAGAAAGUCACUUGCCAUGGUUACGGAAAGGCCGGUCAUAUCAAAAGAUUUUGCCCUGAAGCUGAAUCAUCAGGAACGUCGACCCGGGAAUCAGCCGUCUGACAAUCAGAAGGAAAACUAGGCAGGGCCGAGCCUACCAGCCAGGGUUCGGCCGGGCAAAAGGAAAAGAAACUAUGUACAGUUAUUGAUAUAAGACGUGCCGGUGAAGGUGGAUAUACAAUGCUUGCCCCUUUGGAAAUUUUUGGAAAAAACUUUCAAGCUGUUGUGGAUACGGGAGCCGAAGUAAUGUAACAAUCCCUUCAGAAAGAACUUACCGUGACUUGCCGACGGAACUCCGUCCAACUUUGCAGCAAAGUUCCAUUGCGCUGGAGAAAGCUGAAGCUGGUAAAAUGAUGAAUGUGCGCUUUGACUGGCCUGUGUAUGUUGCGCCAAUACGGGAUGACGUAUUGCUCGGAUGAGACUUCAUACACAGUAAUGACAUUGGAAUACGCACUCGCGAUGGAAUUCAAGUGGAAGGAGAAUGGAUCCCUUGUGAAUUAGUUGAAGGGAAAACGCGCGUUGCACGAGUUCAGCUGUGCAAAAAUGUCGUCGUACCUGCCUGGAGUGAAUUUACUUUGCCGUGUAAAAUCAGCGGGAGGAAUCAUGCUGACGCGAGUUGUGGCGUUGUUGAACCCGUGGAAUUCUCCUAGAAUGUUCCUGUCAUAUGUGCCAGAUCACUAGUUGACCCAAGCAACCACAUGAUACCCGUUCGGGCAGUGAAUUCUUCAAACUCGCCGGUUGAACUGAAGAAAAUUACCGAUGUUGGCGAAAUUCAUCCGGUAGACACCGUGCAAGAAAUUGCUGCGAGUGUGUUGGCAGAAAUCGAUGCCAUGACGCGAGUUACUUCCGUAUGCAGAGUAUAUCAAUAAUCUUUAAACCAUUUCAAGGCAGUACCUCUGACACCAUGUGCACAUAACUUUGAAAUCAGAAUAUCAUGGUCUAUUGUAUUAAAAGCCUUCGAAAGAUCUAAAAACAUCAAUUGUAUGUCCCAGUUUGUCUAGGCUAGAUGUUGUUUAUCAACUAAAUCAAUCAGGGCAAGUUGAGUUGAAUGUUUGGCCCUGAAUCCAUAUUGACAUAGUGCAAGUAUAUUAAAUCUAGCCAUAAACUGUUCAAGACGGUUAGCAACUAAUCGUUCCAACAAUUUUGAGAAGCAAGGCAACACAGAUAUUGGACGAUAAUUAUUGACCUGGGAAUGAUCCCCAGUUUUGAAGACUGGAAUAAUUUAGCAAUUUUAAUUUGGUCAGGAACCUCAC